GAGUUUGAUCAUGGCUCAGAUUGAACGCUGGCGGCAUGCCUUACACAUGCAAGUCGAACGGCAGCACGGGAGCUUGCUCCUGGUGGCAAGUGGCGAACGGGUGAGUAAUGCAUCGGAACGUAUCCUGGAGUGGGGGAUAACGUAGCGAAAGUUACGCUAAUACCGCAUAUUCUGUGAGCAGGAAAGCGGGGGACCUUCGGGCCUCGCGCUCUUGGAGCGGCCGAUGUCGGAUUAGCUAGUUGGUGAGGUAAAGGCUCACCAAGGCGACGAUCCGUAGCAGGUCUGAGAGGAUGAUCUGCCACACUGGAACUGAGACACGGUCCAGACUCCUACGGGAGGCAGCAGUGGGGAAUUUUGGACAAUGGGGGCAACCCUGAUCCAGCCAUGCCGCGUGAGUGAAGAAGGCCUUUGGGUUGUAAAGCUCUUUCGCGAGGGAAGAAAUUGCACCGGACAGUACCUGGUGUAGAUGACGGUACCUUGAUAAGAAGCACCGGCUAACUACGUG
rnacentral:rRNA from 1 species